rnacentral:rRNA from 1 species
UCCUACGGGAGGCAGCAGUGAGGAAUAUUGGUCAAUGGGCGCAAGCCUGAACCAGCCAUGCCGCGUGCAGGAUGACGGUCCUAUGGAUUGUAAACUGCUUUUGUACGGGAAGAAACACUCCUUCGUGAAGGAGCUUGACGGUACCGUAAGAAUAAGGAUCGGCUAACUCCGUGCCAGCAGCCGCGGUAAUACGGAGGAUCCAAGCGUUAUCCGGAAUCAUUGGGUUUAAAGGGUCCGUAGGCGGUCUUGUAAGUCAGUGGUGAAAGCCCAUCGCUCAACGGUGGAACGGCCAUUGAUACUGCAGGACUUGAAUUAUUGGGAAGUAACUAGAAUAUGUAGUGUAGCGGUGAAAUGCUUAGAGAUUACAUGGAAUACCAAUUGCGAAGGCAGGUUACUACCAAUUGAUUGACGCUGAUGGACGAAAGCGUGGGUAGCGAACAGGGUUAGAUACCCUGGUAGUCCACGCCGUAAACGAUGGAUACUAGCUGUUGGGGGCAACUUCAGUGGCUAAGCGAAAGUGAUAAGUAUCCCACCUGGGGAGUACGAACGCAAGUUUGAAACUCAAAUGAAUUGACGGA